GCUGCUGAGACAGAAACUUAAAAUGGAUAUUAAGAGUAAAAAGCGCCCGGGUGGCGCUGAGAAGCAUCGGGAAAAAAAGCUGAAGUGUCUGGAGGUGGAGGCUGCUAAAUGUGGCAAACUGACGGACCUAUUUGGUGCCGGGUUCACCAGCCCAGCAGCAGCAGGUGCGCCGGGAGACGAGCGAGGAGGACUCGACAAUGAUGAGCGAGUGGAGGCAGACGUGGUUGUUGUGAUAUAUUUGAGGAGUCGUUCUCCCUCUGUUUUAUAUGUGGACAUUUGGGACCACUGUUAGAAUUUGGUUGACCACUUGACAUGUGAGAGCCUGAGGAGUUGUUCACCCUCUGUCCAUGUUCGAGGACUUGCUCUCUGUCUGCCUCCACUCUCUGCCUUCACUGUACCAAAGUUUGUCUGUUGAGUCUCCUCUAGUCUGGUUGACCACUUGACAUGUGAGAGCCUGAGGAGUUGUUUUCCAGACAAAGGUAGAGCUGGCAGGGGCGUCACCCUGGGCCUGCCCUUUUGGGCUGGGCUUCAGCUGCAGAUCUAAAGGCUGCUUCCAGGGGCAUGGGGCCCUCAGCCUUUGUUUUUCUUUGCUUCUGCACCUUACAACAUACA